GAGUAAAGUGGCGCACGGGUGAGUAACGCGUGGAUAAUCUGCCCUUAUGAUCGGGAUAACAGUUGGAAACGGCUGCUAAUACCGGAUACGCUCAAAAUGAACUUUUUGAGGAAAGAUGGCCUCUGCUUGCAUGCUAUCACGUAAGGAUGAGUCCGCGUCCCAUUAGCUUGUUGGCGGGUAACGCCACCAAGGCAACGAUGGGUAGCCGAUUUGAGAGGAUGAUCGGCCACACUGGAACUGAAACACGGUCCAGACUCCUACGGGAGGCAGCAGUGGGGAAUAUUGCGCAAUGGGCGAAAGCCUGACGCAGCGACGCCGCGUGAGGGAUGAAAAGGUUUUCGGAUCGUAAACCUCUGUCAGAAGGGAAGAAACUACGUUGUGCUAAUCAGCAGCGUACUGACGGUACCUUCAAAGGAAGCACCGGCUAACUCCGUGCCAGCAGCAGC
rnacentral:rRNA from 1 species